UGUGUUUGGAGAACUAACUCACCGCCGACAAUGGCAGUCAUAGUUAGGUCGCGCGUUAUAAAAUAGGUCAUUAAAAUAAUGACGGUUGGAUUUUAGUAUCGAGUCACAAUCGACUGGAAUAGUUUUAAUUGGAAAUAAUUGAUGUGAUGGCUAACACUCUCCUCCAGAAUAGUCAAAAGUGUUCGAACUGCCUAUUCCAUUUUGUCGCGAUUAAACUGUUCGUUUCAAUUUCAAAGAAGGAUAGUCCUGGUCCAAAGAGAUCAAUAACGGUAAACUGGAAGCAUUACUCGAUUACGACUCAUAACGAGAAAAUUGGGCGCCGCGCCAUCUGAAACCAAGUGACGUCGAAACGUGGAUUUUGUAUACCGGCAGCAUUUCGCCUGAAGAUCAUAAAAAUAAGUCAUUUUUGCAGCGUAUUGGUCUGGAUGUCGGGUAUCUAACACGUUGAGCCCUAUUGCGGUCUCUGGGAACUGACAUUAAAAUUUCCGUCUACUUCGCGCCGGUUCCUCUGGACCGAUGGAGGACUUUUCUCAAGAAGAGAAUUGGAGUUGAGAACGACAGUAACCAAGCAAGGAAAUGAUUUUCAGGGACACAGAUUAAGGCGCAAAUGAAUGAUUCGCUCGCUACGCUCUUCGAAUGCUACAGCAGUUUAUGAAGUGAGAUUUUAAAAAGUAUUCACAUGACAUCAGACAAAGUGUAGAAGAAAUGAUGUUGAUUGGCGUGAUCGUACACUCCAACUAGUUGGAAGGAAAGAGCUUGCCAGAAAACAGCGUCAAAUGCACCUGUUUUUAAAAGUGUUGAAGUGUUUGUAAACAUAGAGGACAUAUUUCUCAUUCCCGCAGAUUGAAUAUCAGCUUGGAAUUGUACCAAACCAAAAUCCCAAACGAUUCUACGCAGAGAUUGAACCGAGACCGGCUGGGAUCUUCUUUUACUGGGAGUGCAAUAGAGAAUAUUCUGAUGUAACACCUUUGAUGCGUGCUUAUUUGAAAAGUGUCUCUUAUUUUCAUACUUCGUUUUUGUCUCAAUUUCCUCAGAGUUGACGAAUCAGUGCCCAUGGUGUGUAAAAACCGAGAGUGGAAAAUUGGUCAAGGGGUGCUUCGAGACGAAGGGUUCACUUGAACGUUAUUUUGAGUCAUAUCAGAUUACUUACCAGGAGCGAAAUGAAUCUAAGAUGCUCAAUUUGGAAAAUUCGCAACUCUAAAAUAUGCUCAGGAAUGUGGAGGGGACUGAACUGCUUGAAAAUUCUUGAUGUAGCAUAGCGGUAGAAUGACUGGGGCGUAUUCGAAGAAACGUUCUCGAAUGCUGUAAGCUGAGGUACUUCAUGUACCAAGGAAUGUACCAAGGCGAAAAAAAAUAAUUCGCUCAUUACGUAAUUCGAUUGCUUCAACAACUUAUGAACUCAGGUCUUAAGAAGUAUACACAAGAGUCAGACAAAUUGUAGAAGAAAUCAUUUUGAUUGGCGUGAUCGUAGAAGGUUGCACUUCUCCAGAGUUCCGUCGUAAGGUAAGGAUAGUUUUCUUUUCGAUAUCAAAGAAAUGAAUGUUUGAAAAGUGCUGAAGUUCAAGUGUCGAAUGUAAGCAGCAAGUAUCAUCUGGGGGAUAUCCGAGACUUUGAAGUACUAAAAUUAUAUUUUUGUUGCUGGAAGAGAAUAAUUCAGGAGUGUCUUCGAACCUAUUGGUGAUAAAGAUAAUAAUGUUUUAAUUUACAGAGGUUUUCAACCUUCUCAGUUCAUUCGCCUUAGCCUUAAAAAAGGUCAAUUUGGAAAACUAAACUAAACUCUCGACAUUGCGGGAUGCGCGAUUUAGAAAGUCUCGCACUCGCUGCCGUCUGGUUGCUAGCUGUAUGACUGUUAAUCGAGAAUGUCUUAUUGGUGAGUUCUUCCCAUUGAACAUUCAACCUGAUCCAACAUUCCAGUCGCCUCGAGAUAUUUCGAUCGAUUUGACAAUUCCUGUUAAGUGUACAGUUCGACUCCACUCCUCGGAAACUGAAUAAAACAAGUAAUCUAUGAAAUUCUGUCGUUUCGAAUACAUCCGAAAACCCACUUUAAUCGACUGACGAGAGUUCUUCAGAUUCAAGCCUUCCAACAUUUGUAAAAUUUGCGCUUGGAGUUCGUGAAGAUCUUGUACUUAAUGUUUCUCGAUGUUCCGUAGGGAAUUAUUGCUGAGGUAGUCAAUUCAGUUUGUUCCAGGAACUAGGUUAUUGCUUACGACGCUUUGUUUCAAUUUGUAAGGUGCCAAUUCGAACAAGGUUGAUUUCUUUUUUCAAUCGAGUUUGCGUGUUGGGCAACUUUUACAGGGAAUAAAAAAUUAUAACUCGAUCAAAAUAACAGUUUCGAAAAAAAUGCCAAUCAGGCGAAAGAAAAAUCCAGAUAUUUGCA